ensembl:lncRNA PTCSC2 papillary thyroid carcinoma susceptibility candidate 2
ACAGCGUCAGGGCGGGGAGGGCGCUUGGAGAUCCCCCGGGUCGGCCCCCUCCGCACCCCGAUCGACUGAGGCCCGGAGAGUUCAGGAACCGGCUCGGGAGACCUCAGCGCCCGAACUCGGAGUUUUCGGACUUUUCAGGCCUCUGCCAAGGGCUUGGACUCGCAGGAUCUCUCUCUGCCACCCAGGCUGGAGUGCAGUGGCACAAUCAUGGCUCACUGCAGCCUCAAACUCCUGCGCUCAAGUGAUCCUCCCACAUCAGCCUCCCAAGUAGCUGGGACUCCAGGUAUGAGAGAACAGAAAUAGAGAUUUGGGUGGCUUUAGCUGUUUAAAAUAAGGUGACCAAACCUCCUUUCUGCCUGUUCCUGCUAUUUCAAACACCACUGUUCUCCACACAAUGAAAAUGGCCUUGUUCCUUAAG